rnacentral:rRNA from 1 species
UACGAAGGGGGCUAGCGUUGCUCGGAAUGACUGGGCGUAAAGGGCGCGUAGGCGGCUUGCACAGUCAGGCGUGAAAUUCCUGGGCUCAACCUGGGGACUGCGCUUGAGACGUGUGGGCUUGAGUGGGGAAGAGGGUCGUGGAAUUCCCAGUGUAGAGGUGAAAUUCGUAGAUAUUGGGAAGAACACCGGUGGCGAAGGCGGCGACCUGGUCCUUGACUGACGCUGAGGCGACGAAAGCGUGGGGGAGCAAACAGG